UAGGGAAUCUUCGGCAAUGGACGAAAGUCUGACCGAGCAACGCCGCGUGAGUGAAGAAGGUUUUCGGAUCGUAAAACUCUGUUGGUAGAGAGGAACGUUGGUGAGAGUGGAAAGCUCAUCAAGUGACGGUAACUACCCAGAAAGGGACGGCUAACUACGUGCCAC
rnacentral:rRNA from 1 species